rnacentral:rRNA from 1 species
GACGAACGCUGGCGGCGUGCCUAAUACAUGCAAGUAGAACGCUGAAGGAGGAGCUUGCUCUUCUGGAUGAGUUGCGAGCGGGUGAGUAACGCGUAGGUAACCUGCCUGGUAGCGGGGGAUAACUAUUGGAAACGAUAGCUAAUACCGCAUAACAGUAGAUGUUGCAUGACAUUUACUUAAAAGGUGCAAUUGCAUCACUACCAGAUGGACCUGCGUUGUAUUAGCUAGUUGGUGGGGUAACGGCUCACCAAGGCGACGAUACAUAGCCGACCUGAGAGGGUGAUCGGCCACACUGGGACUGAGACACGGCCCAGACUCCUACGGGAGGCAGCAGUAGGGAAUCUUCCGCAAUGGACGGAGGUCUGACCGAGCAACGCCGCGGUAGUGAAGAAGGUUUUCGGAUCGUAAAGAUCUGUUUUAAGAGAAGAACGAGUGUGAGAGUGGAAAGUUCACACUGUGACGGUAUCUUACCAGAAAGCGACGGCUAACUACGUG